GCGAAAACUUUUCAAUGCUGGCAACAGCGAUAAGGGAACCUCGAGUGCCAGGUUACAAAUCUGGCUGUCGAGAUGCCUAAAAAGCAUUUCAUAGCAAGGGCCGGGCAAGACCGAUGCCAGCCGCCGCGGUAACACCGGCGGCUCGAGUGGUAACCGUUAUUAUUGGGUCUAAAGGGUCUGUAGCCGGCCGGAUAAGUCUCUUGAGAGAUCUGGCAGCUUAACUGUCAGGCUUUCAGGAGAUACUGUCUGGCUCGAGGCCGGGAGAGGUGAGAGGUACUUCAGGGGUAGGGGUGAAAUCUUGUAAUCCUUGAAGGACCACCAGUGGCGAAGGCGUCUCACCAGAACGGACCUGACGGCAAGGGACGAAAGCUAGGGGCACGAACC
rnacentral:rRNA from 1 species